AUUGAACGCUGGCGGCAGGCCUAACACAUGCAAGUCGAGCGGAACGGCGGACGGGUGAGUAAUGCCUAGGAAUCUGCCUGGCAGUGGGGGAUAAAGCACGGAAACGGGCGCUAACACAGCAUACUAUCAGAUGAGCCUAGUUCGGAUUAGCUAGUUGGUGGGGUAAAGGCCUACCAAGGCGACGAUCCGUAACUGGUCUGAGAGGAUGAACAGUCACACGGGAACUGAGACACGGUCCAGACUCCUACGGGAGGCAGCAGUGGGGAAUAUUGGACAAUGGGCGCAAGCCUGAUCCAGCCAUGCCGCGUGUGUGAAGAAGGUCUUCGGAUUGUAAAGCACUUUAAGUUGGGAGGCGUUACCAACAGAAUAAGCACCGGCUAACUUCGUGCCAGCAGCCGCGGUAAUUC
rnacentral:rRNA from 1 species